CACUGUAAAUAAAAUUAUUGUGGACACUGACAAUUAAAUAUUGACUCAACAAAUGAAUUCACAAUAAUAAGCCCCAAACGAAAAAAAAAAUCCACAUUAUUAAUUUUAGCUGUUGGUCUGAAGUAAAAAUAAAAAAUAUUCAUUCAUCAAACAUAAAACUGUGCUUUGGCAAUUUAUCAAAGAGCAGUGAAAAUUGUGUUUGUGUUUGGCGAACAAACCUUGCAGCAAAAGCGCGUGUACGCAUGCGCGUGAGAGUCGUUUGUUGGAUCAGGUUUAAAUUCCAGCGCAGCAAUCGCAGAGCUCCUCCGAAACAUCAUAUUCAGGCGAUUUUCCUUCAUCAAAGUUAUGACGCGGCCAAGCAUGCUCAUGUCAUGCUCCAGAGACUCUCCUUCUGGGAGGAUUUUCUCUCUGCCUUUUCUGUCCACUGAAAUCUGGCCCUUGCCCAGUAUCUGAUCCACCCUGAGAGGAAACAAACAGCGAUUUUGAGCAUAUGAUGAGGAUGUACACCUUUACACUGUUGUUCCUCAAGCUCGAGCAUGGCACAGCAGGAAAAGGCUGGACUUCGGUUAGUGAAUAAGAACUGAUGUUAGUGCAUCUCCAUCAGCUACGUUUUCUGUUAAAAGACAGUAAGAAAGACAUGUUGACAUAUAUGUUUUGUAAAUUAUACAAGUACAGGACAUUCAGAGCAUUAAAUGUUAUUUGCUACAUUUAAAUAUUGGCUGAAUCUGAUCUACCUUUACUAGUUUACAUCUUUAUGUAGUGCUAAUCAAAUGAUUUUCAUGCAUAUAUGCAUAUUAGUUACAGCUUUCAUAAAAUAUUUUAGAUUUCUUGUUUCAGUAUGUGAUUCACUAUUGCCAGGGGUUAGAAAAAAUGUUUUAUGCUUCCUUGUCUUUUUAAUUUUGUCAUGCAAGAACCAUUUGAACAAACAUUAAUCAGGUGAACCAAUCAGAGUAUGUGCAACACAAUUAAUAUUCAUCCCCUGACUGAAAAAUCACAACAAUAUUUUAAUCAGUUUGGAGUCCAAUGAUGAAGAUUAUGUGUAAUGCAAUAAAAAAGAAGUCUGUCUACAA